rnacentral:rRNA from 1 species
UACACGACUCUCGGCAACGGAUAUCUAGGCUCUCGCAUCGAUGAAGAACGUAGCAAACUGCGAUACUUGGUGUGAAUUGCAGAAUCCCGUGAACCAUCGAGUCUUUGAACGCAAGUUGCGCCCGAAGCCAUUAGGCCGAGGGCACGUCUGCCUGGGCGUCACGCAUCGCG